rnacentral:lncRNA from 1 species
GCACGAGGUGUUAACGGGCCAAGAGGAAGCAAGGGAUCGGAUAUGAACACGGAUGCAUGAGGAACGAGUACAUCGGAUUCUUACGAAAUUUAAGCCCAACCCGGAAUAAGAGGAUGAGUGAUACACGGACUUCUUCUGCUACUUAGGAAGUGAAGCGGACGUAGAUCGAGUCAAGAGCAAGGAUUGCACGGAUAGAUCGAUCAUAUAGUUGAAAUAUAUAACGUCUAGAAAUGUAAAUUUUAGUAUGAAUGUUGUGAAUUAUUUUAUAGAACGUUUAACAUUUUAGCUUUUGGAACCUUCUCGAAAGUAAUGUCGUUAAUAAGGAAAGAAAUUUUAAAGCUCUUUUC